GUAGAAGGAGGGACGAUGCUAAUGAGGAGGGACGCGCCGGCCGGGGACAGUGAGCAGCAGCGCUCCCACCGACCCUGCGGCGGCGUGCUCUCCUGACGGACGCGCACUGGAUGCUCCACGUCGCCUGGAAGACGCCUCUUCUGAUUUAAAACGCACCGGAAAAAGCACUUUGCGCGAGUUUGGACUGAGAAGAAGUGAAAUGCACUGCUAGGAAAAGUUUGUGUUGACUUCAAAUGGGCUGAGAUCGGAUGCAGAUUGUAGCGAGGAGGGGAGAAAAAAAAAAUCCGAUUUUCCUGAAGACGCAAAGAAGUUCGCGGGACGUCCGAUCAGCAUGGAGGAGCGCGAUUAAAACCAGUUUAAGGUGUUUUUUUUGUUGUUGGUCUAAACUUGUAUUUAACCUCAAUUUAAAGGAAUGGACAGUUAAACUCUGCCUAAAAGAAGAAGAAGAAGAAUAGCAUCCAUGGAUUGAGAAAGUGGACCUCCAGCGAACGACUGCGAGAUGUGUGGAGGAGAGUGACGGACGGCCAUGGGACUGGAGAGACGGUGGCUUCAGGCUGUCACCACUGCUGUAGCCAUCUGUCUGCUAAGUGUGUCUCGGGGUUCGGCAUCGCUGGUCCGUGC